GGAGUUAGCCGGUGCUUCUUCUGCGAGUAACGUCACAGAUGUAAGGUAUUAACUUACACCCUUUCCUCCUCGCUGAAAGUGCUUUACAACCCGAAGGCCUUCUUCACACACGCGGCAUGGCUGCAUCAGGGUUUCCCCCAUUGUGCAAUAUUCCCCACUGCUGCCUCCCGUAGGAGUCUGGGCCGUGUCUCAGUCCCAGUGUGGCUGAUCAUCCUCUCAGACCAGCUAGGGAUCGUCGCCUAGGUGAGCCUUUACCUCACCUACUAGCUAAUCCCACCUGGGCUUAUCCAUCAGCGCAAGGCCCUAAGGUCCCCUGCUUUCCCCCGUAGGGCGUAUGCGGUAUUAGCAGUCGUUUCCAACUGUUAUCCCCCACAAAUGGGCAAAUUCCCAGGCAUUACUCACCCGUCCGCCGCUCGUCAUCUUCAAAAGCAAGCUUUUGAAAUGUUACCGCUCGACUUGCAUGUGUUAGGCCUGCCGCCAGCGUUCAAUCUGAGCCAGAAUCGAACCCUGA
rnacentral:rRNA from 1 species